rnacentral:rRNA from 1 species
UACGAAGGGGGCUAGCGUUGUUCGGAAUUACUGGGCGUAAAGAGCGCGCAGGCGGUUGAUUAAGUCGAAUGUGAAAGCCCCCGGCUCAACUGGGGAGGGUCACGCGAUACUGCUCGACUUGAAGGCAGGAGAGGGAAGUGGAAUUCCCGGUGUAGUGGUGAAAUGCGUAGAUAUCGGGAGGAACACCAGUGGCGAAGGCGACUUCCUGGCCUGUUCUUGACGCUGAGGCGCGAAAGCUAGGGUAGCAAACGGG